rnacentral:rRNA from 1 species
AUACGGAAGGUCCGGGCGUUAUCCGGAUUUAUUGGGUUUAAAGGGAGCGCAGGCGGAGAUGCAAGCGUGACGUCAAAUUUCGGGGCUCAACCCCGUCUCGCGUCGCGAACUGCGUCCCUUGGUUGCGGGAAGGGGAGGCGGAACUCGUGGUGUAGCGGUGAAAUGCAUAGAUAUCACGAAGAACUCCGAUCGCGAAGGCAGCCUUCCUGCCCGUCAACGACGCUCAUGCUCGAAGGUGCGGGUAUCAAACAGGAUUAGAUACCCUGGUAGUCCGCACAGUAAACGAUGGACACCCGCGGUUUGGCCUGUAUGGCUGAGCCGCCAAGCGAAAGCGUUAAGUGUCCCACCUGGGGAGUACGCCGGCAACGGUGAAACUCAAAUGAAUUGACGGGG